CUACGGAGGGUGCAAGCGUUACUCGGAAUCACUGGGCGUAAAGCGCGCGCAGGCGGGCUGAUAAGUUGGAUGUGAAAGCCUACGGCUCAACCGUAGAACUGCAUCCAAAACUGUCAGUCUAGAGUGUGGGAGAGGAAGAUGGAAUUAGUUGUGUAGGGGUAAAGUCCGUAGAGAUAACUAGGAAUACCAAAAGCGAAGGCAAUCUUCUGGAACACUACUGACGCUGAGGCGCGAAGGCGUGGGGAGCAAACAGGAUUAGAAACCCCAGUAGUCC
rnacentral:rRNA from 1 species